GGUGAAAAUGAUGAAUUCUGGGGUACUGAUUCGUGUGAUCUGAAAAAGCCAUCCAUUUCCUGAUUCACC
rfam:Nipponia nippon contig61623, whole genome shotgun sequence.